rnacentral:tRNA from 1 species
GUCGGUGUAGUUUAGCCUGGUUAGAGCGCCACGCUCAUAACGUGGAAGUCGAGGGUUCAAAUCCCUCCACCGACA